rnacentral:rRNA from 1 species
CCUACGGGAGGCAGCAGUGGGGAAUAUUGCACAAUGGGCGCAAGCCUGAUGCAGCCAUGCCGCGUGUGGGAAGAAGGCCUUCGGGUUGUAAAGCACUUUCAGCGGGGAGGAAGGCGGUGAGGUUAAUAACCUCAUCGAUUGACGUUACCCGCAGAAGAAGCACCGGCUAACUCCGUGCCAGCAGCCGCGGUAAUACGGAGGGUGCAAGCGUUAAUCGGAAUUACUGGGCGUAAAGCGCACGCAGGCGGUCUGUCAAGUCGGAUGUGAAAUCCCCGGGCUCAACCUGGGAACUGCAUUCGAAACUGGCAGGCUAGAGUCUUGUAGAGGGGGGUAGAAUUCCAGGUGUAGCGGUGAAAUGCGUAGAGAUCUGGAGGAAUACCGGUGGCGAAGGCGGCCCCCUGGACAAAGACUGACGCUCAGGUGCGAAAGCGUGGGGAGCAAACAGGAUUAGAUACCCUAGUAGUC